rnacentral:lncRNA from 1 species
CCGAAAAAUAAAAUGACGAAGCAAUACCAUCCGUUGACUAAAUAUUACAACAUAAUACACCACAUUCAUUUGUUUAGCUUCAUUAGUCCAAUUGCAUUUUUAGCUUGCUUCUAUGAGAAUGAGAAAGAUAAAAACAAUCAGAUAAAUCGUGUUCAUGUUGGUAGUCCCACUAAUACAAAAUAUUGGAUAAAAUUUGGACAGUUGCAGUUGACAACAAAUACUUCAUCUUAUAUCCACCUAAAGAAAAGAAAAUCAAGCAUUAGUAUUAUUGGUAAGACUUACAUAUGGUAGUAUAACAAUCAUAAAAUUCAGCUAGUUUGCAUAUUCAGCAAAACAAUCAUAAAUUCAUUAAUUUUGGAGGAAAAAGAGGGGCAUAAAAUAUCAGCAUGGACUAAGAGGAGAAAGAAAAGAUUCAGACACGGUAGACCUAUUGAAAUGCCCCCAUCAAAGGCAUGUUCUAAAUCUGAAUUGGGUCUCUUCUUUUUAGCAAUCUAUAGCUAGGCAUUAAAUAAUGAUUUACAACCUUGGAGGACCUAUUUAGGGAUAUGAACCUUUAACCUAUUUCAUUGGAGGAGACUAUCUUCAUUGAUUUUGGUAUUGAUGUAAUAACUGAAAAGUGAUACACACCAAAUUUAAAAUAGAAAAUCUGCAAUAGAAGCACUACCAGUAAAUCACAAUUCACAACCAUACUCGCAUAUUCUGUGACUUAGGAGAGAUCAUGUAGUGGUAUUUCUAUUUCAAUCACCUGACCCUACUCUAUUCAUGAGAACAACUGCUAUCUAUGUUGAAUGAAUGCGUCCAGGUUACUACAAAAAUUUCUAGACAAAUUCUAACUUCUGCAAAUACUACUUCAAUUGCCUUAUUUCUAUUAUAUACUUACAAGCAACGACCAUCUCAUCAUGACCAUCUAUCGAAGAGAUGCACCAAAAAGAUCUGAAAAACAUAAAGCAGAUAAACGAACCUUCAAAAUAUAAGUUUUGAGUAGUAUUUAAACACAUGUUAAAGGAUACAAUGAAAAGAAGCAUAUUGCCAACGACAAGUCUGUUUUUUCAUUUCCUUGCAAAACUUACUAAUGACAAACUAAGUGAAUGUGUGGGCUAAAGAUGUUGCAACCUGAUCAUUCUAGAUAUGUCCAUGUUAUUGUCCUUGGUGGGGCUUCAGUGAGAGUUCAUCAUUUAUAAUUUGCUGCUUUUGAGGCUAGUGAAAAAUAUUCAACAUGUUGUGCGAGAGAUUUGGAAACAACAGUUAUCACUUAUCACAUGCCAUCAGUUCUUGCUCGAUCCUUAUCUAUAUGAAAUAAAGCGUGCGUCUAUACCGAUAAGUAGAUAUUGAUUGAUCUCAACUAAUCAAGGGGAAAAUGUUUGAUAUUUUGGUCAAUUCAAAAUAUCAUAAUAAAAAUACCCCCGUACCCUGACAACUUAAAAAAAGUGAAAAGAAGAAAGGAAUGUUGAGGCUAGGAAUGAAGUGCAAAGAGAAAACUGGAGAAAUAAAACUCACAUGCAGACAUCCACUAAUCAAACAAAUCAAAUGCUCAAAAAACAAAAUCAGAGAACAUAGCUUACCAAUUAAUACAAUCGCAGCACACCAGAUUGAUCGGCAAAGGACUGUCAAUCCAACUAAAGAAGAUACUAUCAUGUGACAGAAGCAUUAUUCAAAGUUCAAACUUGCCGCAAUUAUUACUCCCACCGUUCCAGUUUAUGUAAACCUAGCUAUUUCCUUUUUGGUCCGUUCCAAAAAGAAUGACCCCUUUCUAAAUUUGGAAACAAUUUAGCUUAAACUUCCAAUUCUACCCUUAAUGAGAAGCUUUUAUAACCACACAAAUACUCUGGUCCCCAUUUUGACUUGUUUAGGACCACAAAUUCUAAAAAAGUCAUCAUUUUUUCUUAAACUCCGUGAUCAGUCAAACAUGUUCACAUAAAUUGGAACAGAGGGAGUAUUAUUGAAAAAAAUGGAAGGGAAGGAAAAGAUAAAGCUGUAAUUUUGAUUACUUUUGCUCCACGCGUAUAGUAGUCACCGGAACAUCUAUGUACAAGAUAAAAAGUCAUAAGCAAGCUGCGGUAAGGACUUUAUUUUCCUGCAAAACAAUUGUUGAUGUAUAGAAAAACAUGUUACUAAUUUAUAUGAGGGAAUCAAUUAGGAUAUUUGCGAACGAACAUUUAAACUUGUUGCUAAAUUUUUAUGUUUGAGUAGCUUAGUAACUUUUAUUCUCUGUGUAAAAGCAUAGGAGUUAGCAGGACUUCAGAAUAUGCAAGCAUUUGAACUAUCUCGGAGGAGUUGAUUGAAAUAUUUCAAGAAUUUCUCAAGGAUUAAUCUUCAUUUCCUGCACAUACUCUAGUCCCUCUCGAGAUAGUAAUUCUGGGGUUUUCACAUUAUAAAAUGACAUAAAGAUGAUCUCCGAAUGAUCUUCUUAGCUGCUACUUGAUUUUCAAAUGUAUCAACCAAAUCAGACAACCCAAUGAAUGAAAGCUCUUAAUCUUCAUUAUACUCCAGCAUAGAGCGAUAAUGUCUCAAAUUCUAGAGUAAUCUUAAUAUCUCGUUCUGAACACUUAUGUCAUUUGAGUAUCAAAUAAAUCUCAGUUGUAACCUAAAAGCAACAACCAUAAAUUCCAGCUUUGUUUCUUUGAUACUAUGUUGUAGAUUAGUUUUAUGGAGUUACAACCAACAAAUCAGAAGUAGAAAGAUUCAAAAAAUGACGAAGAAACAAUAAUAAUUCAACGAUGAUAGAUAAACAAAAUUGAUUGUCCUUGUAAUAUUGCAUAGAUCAGAGAGCUAUUGUUGAAAUGUGAGACCCGUUUGGCCAUAGAUCACUUUUGACACGGAACCAACCCCCAGAGGAAACAGAGGGACAACAACACAAAACUGCAGCACAUCCCUAUUUUUAUUUCUAAAGCAAGAAAGAACAACGACACUGCCACUCUUCAAUUAAUUUCUAAAUCAAUUCCCAAAUAGAAUUUCAGUGCACCUUUAUCAUCUCUCAACGCAAUUCUAAUGUGCAAAGUCGCCCAAACCUGUAGAAGUAAGAGGUUCUUACUCCCAUGUAGUCUAAAUACUUUUUUUCUUACUAUUUUCUUCAAUCCUUUAUCUUCUUUUUUAUAACAAGAAUAAGUACAACUAUAGAUUUGUUGCCUAACAUAAACUUUUCCUAAGCAUUCAUCCCACAAAUCAAAGUAGGCAAAUAACUUUAAGCUUUUCCUAAUCAUGUAUAUUCCAAUCAAUCAACCUCCAUUCCAUACAUCAUCCUAUUUCUUUGGAUGCUGUCAUAGCCAAAAAGAAGUGACAAAAUAAGACGGUAAACUUUCCUCUUCCAUUGUUAUCUUCGAGAAAUAGAGUAAGACAGUGGACACAUAGAAGGUUUGAAGAUGAAAUUUCAUAAAGAUACCCCACGCCCUAGAUCACUUUCAGCAUUCUAAAGAUGCCAAGUGAAUGUAGAAAUUUGAAAGUUCUAAAAGAUGGAUAUAUAUUCUUUGUUCCGAGUUGGCGAUUUUGGUGUUAUAGAUGUAGUUUAUUGUAAGGUCUGUAAUGUUAUUUGAAAAGUGUUCAUGACGGCUAGUAAGAUGAUAAAGCCCAUAAUACUGUAUGUAAUACCCGAAAGAAUUGUACUCUAGCUAGUUUGUUGAACAUACCAUCACAAUCUCGGUGUUGUUUGUAAUUAGAAAAUUUACCUUUUUAAUCAAAAGCAAUAUAAGGAGAAAAUAUGGUCAAAGUAUAGAAUCAGAUAUGCUGAGCACAUUUUUCCUGAAAUAAAAAGAACUCAAUUUAGUAAAAAUUUUGAUUCAUAUCUUCUCAAGCUCAACCUGAGACUAUACUUUCCUAAAGUCGGAAUAGGAUCGUUCUCCACUUCACGAGAUUUUAAAAAGAACAACUUAAUUUUGUAAAUACUUCAUUAAUCAUUUUUCCCAAAUAAAGUUUUUAAACAUAUAAAAUCUCUAUAAGAAGACAAAAGUGAAAGAACACAAGUAUUUUUCUUGGCUGUACAUUAAAAAUAAAAAGAAUGCAUUUGAAACAUUAGUUUGCUAAUUUCAGUACUGUUGAAGAAGCCUUGUAAAACAUUAAAUUCGGAUAGCCUAACAUACAAUUAUUUCUUGUUAGCUAAGAAGUCCUUUAAAGUAUGCAUCAACUACCGUCAACAGUCAGAUAAAUAUUACUUCUCAUUUAAUUCUAUCCUCUCAUGUCUACAGCAGUUUAGAAAAUCCACAAAAUUGUUUAGAUCCUGGGGCCAUCUUACAAUUACACCAAGAAUACACAAACUGCAAUGACUUGAAUUGAAUACAUGCUAAGGCCCAAUAAGUAUUUUGAAAAAAACUAUAGUUUCUUUCCACAUUGUGCAAAAAAAGCACGAAGGAACUUAUUACUGGAUGUCUUUGUGAAUGUAAUAGAAAAUCUCAUGAAUUAAGCAUAAAAAACCUUUUGUUCUUGGGGAUAAUUGCAUUUUUAAUGAGUUACUAAUAUUGAAAAGGGGAAGUAAGUAAAAGUAAACCAAAAUGUGCAGAACUUACCUGGUACAAGUGAAGCAAUAUUCCUUUCCCCACUUUCAGUUAACAACUUCCUUUAAGAAAAAUCUGAAAAAUCAAUAUUUUGGGACCAUUAUAUUCCUACUAAAUGAAUACAAAAAUAUUCGGUAAUAUCAAAAGUUCAUAUUUCAAACAAAACCCAAGUAAGCGAUACACUAUUCAGUUUAAUAGAGUCUCGUCAAAAAAUAAUAAAAUAGGAGUAAUAAUUUUGAAAAAGAAGAAGAUAAACCCAAUUAAAGAACAUUGUGUGAGAAAAAUAUUGUGCAUGAGUAAAUCAAACAUAUCUACUGACAUGUAUGUAUAACAUUCAAUAAAAUACUGCCCAAAAGUUCAAGAUGCCCAAAAAAUUAUAUUAAAAACAGGAUCCAAACACAUGCAUAGCCGAGAAAACAGAGGAAGAUGCAAAGAAGGUGUCCAAUUCCCUGCUUCUUAGUAGGAGAAACUGAUAGAUAAGUCACCAAAGAAACCCCAAAUUUUCCAUCUUUCAAUUUUCUUUUUCAAACUUUCAGUUCAUACACUUUGAAAACCUAAAUAGACACAAUUCAAUAAUGUAGCCACAUAAGACUCACCAAUCCUUGUAACAUUAAAAAAAUUAGAAAUGGUAAAAGAUAAAAGAUAAAAGAUAUUCUCCAUCUUCAUAAUAGCCAAAGGUAACACAUAAAUAUUAAAAAAAUGAACCCAGAUGGGACUAAAUCUAAAAACUGAGCAAAAUAUUAACAGGGGGAAGAAGAAAAAGGCAUCAGCAAGAGAAAGAGUCGGUGGAAGGGAAAUUGAGA